rnacentral:lncRNA from 1 species
UAGUUUAUAUCGUCACUGUCGCAAGCAAUCACUUAAGUUCAAAUUUUGAGAAAUUUCGAUUUUUCCACCCUCUCAAAGCUCUGUCCAAGAUGCACCUUUGAUCAUGACCAGGAUACUGUUUGAUGCUGUGGUCAAGGCUUACAAUUUUCCUGCUUUUCCUGAUUUCUGAUGGGAACUACACGACCAAAACUAGUUUGUUUGUCUCUCACGUAAAACAUAUCCAAACGGGCGUGGAGUGGUCUUACCCUCACACGUGUAUGUACCUGGCAGUGUGCUCUGUCGUGUGGUGUGCCCCUUUGUCAUUUGGUCACUUUUGAGGACAAGCGGGCUAACCCAGAUUUCGGGGGUUUCCAGAAAUCUUAAGCUACGCUAAAAGUGGAUAUGUAGGAAUAGUCAACCGUGUGAGCUUGUUCUGCCAUACACAGAUGUAGGAAUAGUCAACUGUGUGAGCUUGUUCUACCAUACACAGAUGUAGGAAUAGUCAACUGUGUGAGCUUGUUCUGCCAUACACAGAUGUACGAAUAGUCAACUGUGUGAGAUUGUUCUACCAUACACAGGUAUAUGUAGGAAUAGUCAACUGUGUGAGAUUGUUCUGCCAUACACAGAUGUAGGAAUAGUCAACUGUGUGAGCUUGUUCUGCCAUACACAGAUGUAGGAAUAGUCAACUGUGUGAGAUUGUUCUACCAUACACAGAUGUAGGAAUAGUCAACUGUGUGAGAUUGUUCUACCAUACACAGAUGUAGGAAUAGUCAAAUGUGUGAGCUUGUUCUGCCAUACACAGAUGUAGGAAUAGUCAACUGUGUGAGCUUGUUCUGCCAUACACAGAUGUAGGAAUAGUCAACUGUGUGAGAUUGUUCUACCAUACACAGAUGUAGGAAUAGUCAACUGUGUGAGAUUGUUCUACCAUACACAGGUAUAUGUAGGAAUAGUCAACUGUGUGAGAUUGUUCUGCCAUACACAGAUGUAGGAAUAGUCAACUGUGUGAGCUUGUUCUGCCAUACACAGAUGUACGAAUAGUCAACUGUGUGAGAUUGUUCUACCAUACACAGGUAUAUGUAGGAAUAGUCAACUGUGUGAGCUUGUUCUGAUCAGGGAUGUGAAGUAAGCAUCUACUCAGAAACUUGUUUUCUCCCCUGGUUGUUCCAAACAUGCUCCAGUUUGUGCAAUGAUUUAUUUUGUUUCAAUUUCAAUAUUCCCGCUGUCUCUCUCUUUUUUUUUGUGGUGAAAUCUCUGCUUUCUGUCGUCAAGUGUAUUUUUUUAAAAUUAAUUAAUUUUUUUGCUUGUAGUUGUUUUGCCCUUAGAUUUUCUUUAUUUAAAUUUAUGCACAUUUUAAGAACCUAUGGAAUGGAACAAUGUAGUUAUAUUGUUAUUAAUUAUUAUUGUAAUUAUUCUUUUUUAUUUUCGUCAUUAUAACAAUAAUCAUUAUUAUUGUUAUUUUUUAUUGUUGGCAUUAUUUAUUGUUAUAAUUAUGAAUGAUUAAGACAAGCAAUUUAUUCUGUUGUCAGUUGGUCAUGUAUUGUGCAGAAUUAUACAUACUUGGAAAUUUUUAUUUUUACUAUUGAAGAAUUAAUGAUGAAAUAAAUGAUUUGAGAAGGUAG